rnacentral:rRNA from 1 species
UACAGAGGUCUCAAGCGUUGUUCGGAUUCAUUGGGCGUAAAGGGCGCGUAGGCGGCCAUGCAAGUCGGGUGUGAAAGCCCUCGGCUCAACCGAGGAAGUGCACUCGAAACUGCAUGGCUCGAGUCCCGGAGAGGAUAGUGGAAUUCUCGGUGUAGAGGUGAAAUUCGUAGAUAUCGAGAGGAACACCGGUGGCGAAGGCGGCUAUCUGGACGGUGACUGACGCUGAGACGCGAAAGCGUGGGGAGCAAACAGG